GCAGCUUCACCUCCCGCCUCUCAGAGCCUCGAGCUUUGACAUGAGAAAUCCGUCUAGGCCGCCGGGAAGGGCAUAGGGGGCGGCAAGAUGAGGCCACCUUGGGCGCCCGGCGCAGUGGAGCCUUCCGAUGAUUCCAGCCCCAGCUGCCCUCCGACUGCAGCCGCGGGAGACACCCCCAAGCAAGAGCCUCCCCGCUGAGCCCUGCCAACCCCAGCAUCACGAGCCUAGGAAGCCACCGUUCCAAGCCAGCGUGUCCACAGGCGGUUCGCCACACAGCAGGGGACAACUGGAGGAGGGUCCUGCCGAGCCACUCCGCGGGGACAGGGGCGUCCCGUCCACCCUCACCGCCCGCCACCCCACGGCCAGACCUUCAGGCCGAACCGCAUUCAGACGCUCUCCUCCUUCACCCUGUCCCGGCUCAGGGUGGGCCCGCCACCUGGAAUGUCCUCGGCCUCCUUCGCCACUUGGGAAGACCCUUCUGGACUCAGCUCCUAAGAGGCCUCCGCUUUGUAGACCUUUCUAGUUAACGGUCAAGGCGGUUGCGCCGUCCCAAGGUUGGGAUCUGCCUGGGCUCACGCUCGCCAGCGGUAUGAACUCAGAUGGGCGCCUGCCUCUCUGGGCCCCAGCUUCUCACAUGCAAACUGGGGGGAUUAAUGCUAACAGCUGCCAUGAGGCCGUUGUGCAGAGAAAGCCAGGAACGGGGGUAACGCCCGUGGCCCGGGCUGUAAAUGGUGGCCGUGCCGAGCGAUUAGCUGCACCAUGCCUCCGCUGGCUCAGGGCCUAGCGCUGGGGGCGGGUCAUUGCACUCUGGCUCCCCUGAGGCCAGGCCCUCAACCCCCGGCAGAGUGGGUCCCCCGCAGUCCACGGCUCACUGCCCCCACCGCACCCCAGCACUCGCAGCCUUUGUCAAGUCACUGGUGCCCAAGAGGGGUUUGGUGGAGAAGGAAAGAUUCAGAGGAUCCUCCGCUAGUCUAGUUGGAAGGAUCUUCUAAUUUUUACUGAGGCCCAGAGAGGUAGAGGGCCUUGGCCGAGGUCACACAGCUCGCUCUGGAACUGGAUCCUAGGCCUCGGCUCCCUACCCUGCCCCUUGUCUGACACGGGGGCGGGGGGGCUCUGAGUCUCAGGGACACGUCCUCUCUGACUCCUCUGAAAUCUCUCGCGCCCUCCCUGCACCCGGAGCCACCUGAGAUGAAAUUACUCCACCGCCUGACGUCCGGCUCCUCCGUGGGCCCCACUCACCGUGGAGGGCACAGCCUGACCGGGGGUCCUCCCCGCCUGGCUCUUUUCUCCCUUCUUCCCUCUAGACGCAGUCAGCCAGCCAGCUCGGGGCACCUGUAGCGUGCCAGAGAUACUAGCUGUCCCGCACCCGCAGGGGCUUUGGGGGAAACCCAAACCCGCAUUGGGGGAAAGAUGGCAGGACGUGUUCAAAUGGCUCAACCUGCAAGCGUAAACGUGACCAGCAUGGAGGGCCAGCGCUCGGGCCUCCCGUGGUCCAGACGGGAGGCCUGAGGCUGGCGAGGUGUGUGGAGCCCAGGUCCCAGAAACUUGGCUCAAAGCCCAGCCUCUCCUCUUGGUAGAGCCAGGGGAUCUUGGGUGUGUUAUGUCUCCCAGCCUCACCUUCCCCACCUGUAAGAUGGGAGCACGAACACUUCCGCCAAGGACGAGCCCCGGCAUGGAGAACCCUGGGCCCCACUGGGCGUCCAGACCAACUCCCUUCCUUCAACACCUGACCGCCACUCACCACCACAUUUCCACCCUUCCUUCCGGUCAGUUCCUGGGUGAGUCUGGGUUCUAAAUACACUUGAGGGGGCCUGGGGCUCUGAGGCUUUGCGGCGAAGAGUCUAGAAGCUUUGAAGAGGGCCACAGGGUUCUGGAGAAUUCCUUCCUGCAGAGUGGCCGGUAUGGGCAGGCCAGGCCUUGGGUUAGGGGCCCGCAGGCCUCAGACACACAGCUCGGUCCACGUGGGAGUGUUGGGGAGGGAGGAUGAGUUUCUAUGUUCGUUGCACAGAGAGGGGUGUGUGUGUGUGUGUGUGUGUGUGUGUGUGUGUGUGUGUGUAUACACGGGCACUUGCCCAGUAUGGGGGGCUGGGAGUAGGGAGGGGGUGGCCCUGCAGCUGUCCCCAGCCCUGGGAGAGCUCUGCAGGCCACGCCUUUCCCCGCCACUGGAGCAACCCCAGAACCCUGAUUUGGAAGGAUGGCUACAGCCAGAUUAGAGCUCCCAGCUUCAAACGGAGCAGCAGGCCCCGGCAAUGGGGCUUAAAGGGGCCGCUGCAGUUAUAAACAGCCACCUUCUCCGGGACUCGCCCUUCCCUCCUGGGGGGAAUGUUCUGGCAGCCCCUUGGCUGGUGCCUGCAAGAGGGGUGUGCUCAAACAAAUAAGCCAGACUUCGCAUAUGAAGUAACACACUUGGUUUUAAGUUGCAGGGAGCCCCGAGUGUGUGUCGAGAGACCCUUCCAGCCGGUGACCCUGAGGACGCUGCCUGAGGUUUCCUCCAUUAUUAACGAACGUGCUUCCCUCUCCCCAGCUCUCUGGAGCUUAUGUGUCAGGCUCAGAAAUAGCUCGCGGGGAGGGGCUGGCAUCCCAUUCCUGGGUCUAGGCAACCGUGCCAUCCGUCUGGCCCCUCCGGGGCUCAGUUUCCCCACAGUUGGAGGAGAGGGGCGGGCAAGGAGGAGAGGUAAAGGGAGCAGGUGAUGCGUCACAGACCCAAGACCGGUUCUGGGUCAGACGCCGAGUCCCGGAACUAUCAAGGGCGGGAGCACCUCCAGUCCAGGCCCCGGCUCACAGAAAAGCAUGCCCACGGAAGGAAAUUUUGUUGCGCUUGUUAAAUGGCCAGUGACCUCCCCGCACCCCCCGCAACCCCCCCCCCCCCCCCCCCCCCCCCCCCCCCCCCGGGCCUCCCGCAGGUGCCUCUGUGCCCGCCAGGCGCUCUCUUCUCAGGGCCCUUCUUUUCCAUCUGAAUUGAAGGGAUGGACGGGGUGACAGGGACCGGCAGAGGGGGUGGGCAGGUGCUGUUGGAGCCCCAGUGCACACAGGGGAGGCUGGCGAGGUGGGCAGGGACUGACUUGCUCAGGGACUCACUGCCAGGAAGCGGCCCGGGUCGAGGGGGAUUAGAACUCCGCUCUACCUCAUUCCACACCCUCACCUCUUACCUUGUGCUCUGUGGGCCUGAUUACCCCACCGAUUGAUUAACUGAUUGGUUAGCUGAUUGAUCGCCUCCCCGCCAGCCUCCCGGGAAGCCCCCUUCCUCCCUCCCCCAUCGCCCGGCCACCACGGGGUCUCCGAAAUCCCACCGCAGGUGCCCCCCAAACCUCAGCCGGG
rnacentral:lncRNA from 1 species